GUGCACCAGGCGCGAAACCUCCGCAAUGCGGGAAACCGCGACGGGGGACCCCGAGUGCCGUGGCAACGCCACGGCUUUUCCGGAGUGUAAAAAGCUCCGGGAAUAAGGGCUGGGCAAGGCCGGUGGCAGCCGCCGCGGUAAUACCGGCGGCCCGAGUGGUGGCCGCUAUUAUUGGGCCUAAAGCGUCCGUAGCCGGGCCCGUAAGUCCCUGGCGAAAUCCCACGGCUCAACCGUGGGGCUUGCUGGGGAUACUGCGGGUCUUGGGACCGGGAGAGGCGGGGGGUACCCCUGGGGUAGGGGUGAAAUCCUAUAAUCCCAGGGGGACCGCCAGUGGCGAAGGCGCCCCGCUGGAACGGGUCCGACGGUGAGGGACGAAGGCCAGGGGAGCAAACCGGAUUAGAUACCCCUGUAGU
rnacentral:rRNA from 1 species